GAAAAUGUCAAAGAGGGGUCAAAGCAUUAAAUAAAAGUACAACAAAAAUGUGGGAGGUCAAAAAAAUUAAGAGUGAGUUGACCUCAAAAGUUGGGGUUAAAAAUAUUUAAAAAUAAUAAAAUAAAAAUGCAAAAAGAAAAUUAAAUGGAAAAUAAAAGAAAAUAUGCAUUAAAUGCAAAAUGAUAUUAAAAAAAUUUAAAAUAAGUAUGAGUUAGAAAUAUUUUUACGGAAUUAUUGAAAAAAAUUAAGAUUAAAAAAUAAUAAGGUAGUUAUUUAAAAUUAAUUUAGGAAGAAAAGGAAAU
rnacentral:lncRNA from 1 species